GACGAACGCUGGCGGCGUGCCUAAUACAUGCAAGUAGAACGCUGAAGCUUGGUGCUUGCACCGAGCGGAUGAGUUGCGAACGGGUGAGUAACGCGUAGGUAACCUGCCUGGUAGCGGGGGAUAACUAUUGGAAACGAUAGCUAAUACCGCAUAAGAGUAGAUGUUGCAUGACAUUUGCUUAAAAGGUGCAAUUGCAUCACUACCAGAUGGACCUGCGUUGUAUUAGCUAGUUGGUGAGGUAACGGCUCACCAAGGCAACGAUACAUAGCCGACCUGAGAGGGAGAUCGGCCACACUGGGACGGAGACACGGCCCAGACCCCUACGGGAGGCAGCAGUAGGGAAUCUUCGGCAAUGGACGGAAGUCUGACCGAGCAACGCCGCGUGAGUGAAGAAGGGUGUCGGAUCGUAAAGCUCUGUUGUAAGAGAAGAACGAGGGUGAGAGUGGAAAGUUCACACUGUGACGGUAGCUUACCAGAAAGGGACGGCUAACUACGUG
rnacentral:rRNA from 1 species